rnacentral:rRNA from 1 species
ACUCCUACGGGAGGCAGCAGUGGGGAAUUUUGGACAAUGGGCGCAAGCCUGAUCCAGCCAUGCCGCGUGAGUGAAGAAGGCCUCGGUUGUAAGCUCUUCGGUGGGGAAGGAAAUUAGCUUCGGCUAAUAUCCGGAGUAGAUGACGGUACCCGCAUAAGAAGCACCGGCUAACUACGUGCCAGCAGCCGCGGUAAUG